UACGUAGGGUGCAAGCGUUGUCCGGAAUUAUUGGGCGUAAAGAGCUCGUAGGCGGCUUGUCACGUCUGCUGUGAAAACUCGGGGCUCAACCCCGAGCCUGCAGUGGAUACGGGCUAGCUAGAGUGCGGUAGGGGAGACUGGAAUUCCUGGUGUAGCGGUGAAAUGCGCAGAUAUCAGGAGGAACACCGGUGGCGAAGGCGGGUCUCUGGGCUAUAACUGACGCUCAUGCGCGAAAGCGUGGGGAGCAAACAGG
rnacentral:rRNA from 1 species